AGUGAACGCUGGCGGUAGGCCUAACACAUGCAAGUCGAACGGCAGCACAGUAAGAGCUUGCUCUUACGGGUGGCGAGUGGCGGACGGGUGAGGAAUACAUCGGAAUCUACUUUUUCGUGGGGGAUAACGUAGGGAAACUUACGCUAAUACCGCAUACGAUCUACGGGUGAAAGCAGGGGAUCUUCGGACCUUGCGCGAUUGAAUUAGCCGAUGUCGGAUUAGCUAGUUGGCGGGGUAAAGGCCCACCAAGGCGACGAUCCGUAGCUGGUCUGAGAGGAUGAUCAGCCACACUGGAACUGAGACACGGUCCAGACUCCUACGGGAGGCAGCAGUGGGGAAUAUUGGACAAUGGGCGCAAGCCUGAUCCAGCCAUACCGCGUGGGUGAAGAAGGCCUUCGGGUUGUAAAGCCCUUUUGUUGGGAAAGAAAAGCAGCAGGUUAAUACCCCGCUGUUCUGACGGUACCCAAAGAAUAAGCACCGGCUAACUUCGUG
rnacentral:rRNA from 1 species